rnacentral:rRNA from 1 species
UACGUAGGAGGCGAGCGUUGUCCGGAAUUACUGGGUGUAAAGCGCGCGUAGGUGGCAGGCCAAGUCUGUGGUGAAAUCGCCCGGCUCAACUGGGCGGAGUCCGUGGAAACUGGUCAGCUGGAGGACGGUAGAGGCGAGUGGAAUUCCCGGUGUAGUGGUGAAAUGCGUAGAGAUCGGGAGGAACACCAGUGGCGAAGGCGGCUCGCUGGGCCGGUCCUGACACUGAGGCGCGAAGGCGUGGGGAGCGAACGGG